GUGGAUCGGCGUCGUGCUUACCAUGCAAGUCGAACGAUGAUGCCCAGCUUGCUGGGCGGAUUAGUGGCGAACGGGUGAGUAAUACGUGAGUAACCUGCCCUUGACUCUGGGAUAAGCCUGGGAAACUGGGUCUAAUACUGGAUACUACCGCCCACCGCAUGGUGGGUGGUGGAAAGGGUUUUACUGGUUUUGGAUGGGCUCACGGCCUAUCAGCUUGUUGGUGGGGUAAUGGCUCACCAAGGCGACGACGGGUAGCCGGCCUGAGAGGGUGACCGGCCACACUGGGACUGAGACACGGCCCAGACUCCUACGGGAGGCAGCAGUGGGGAAUAUUGCACAAUGGGCGGAAGCCUGAUGCAGCGACGCCGCGUGAGGGAUGACGGCCUUCGGGUUGUAAACCUCUUUCAGUAGGGAAGAAGCGAGAGUGACGGUACCUGCAGAAGAAGCGCCGGCUAACUACGUGCCAGCAGCCGCGGUAAUACGUAGGGCGCAAGCGUUGUCCGGAAUUAUUGGGCGUAAAGAGCUCGUAGGCGGUUUGUCGCGUCUGCUGUGAAAGCCCGGGGCUCAACCCCGGGUCUGCAGUGGGUACGGGCAGACUAGAGUGCAGUAGGGGAGACUGGAAUUCCUGGUGUAGCGGUGAAAUGCGCAGAUAUCAGGAGGAACACCGAUGGCGAAGGCAGGUCUCUGGGCUGUUACUGACGCUGAGGAGCGAAAGCAUGGGGAGCGAACAGGAUUAGAUACCCUGGUAGUCCAUGCCGUAAACGUUGGGCACUAGGUGUGGGGGACAUUCCACGUUUUCCGCGCCGUAGCUAACGCAUUAAGUGCCCCGCCUGGGGAGUACGGCCGCAAGGCUAAAACUCAAAGGAAUUGACGGGGGCCCGCACAAGCGGCGGAGCAUGCGGAUUAAUUCGAUGCAACGCGAAGAACCUUACCAAGGCUUGACAUUCACCGGACCGCCCCAGAGAUGGGGUUUCCCUUCGGGGCUGGUGGACAGGUGGUGCAUGGUUGUCGUCAGCUCGUGUCGUGAGAUGUUGGGUUAAGUCCCGCAACGAGCGCAACCCUCGUUCUAUGUUGCCAGCACGUGAUGGUGGGGACUCAUAGGAGACUGCCGGGGUCAACUCGGAGGAAGGUGGGGAUGACGUCAAAUCAUCAUGCCCCUUAUGUCUUGGGCUUCACGCAUGCUACAAUGGCCGGUACAAAGGGUUGCGAUACUGUGAGGUGGAGCUAAUCCCAAAAAGCCGGUCUCAGUUCGGAUUGAGGUCUGCAACUCGACCUCAUGAAGUCGGAGUCGCUAGUAAUCGCAGAUCAGCAACGCUGCGGUGAAUACGUUCCCGGGCCUUGUACACACCGCCCGUCAAGUCACGAAAGUUGGUAACACCCGAAGCCGGUGGCCUAACCCCUUGUGGGAGGGAGCCGUCGAAGGUGACGCAGUCCCUAGC
rnacentral:rRNA from 1 species